UGGAAUAGACCAACAUAUACACAGAGAAACACUACUUUAACAGAAUGACGAAUGCUCUGUGGAAUAGACCAACAUAUACACUGAGAAACACUACUUUAACAGAAUGUGUCUACACAAUGUGACAUGUUUUCAAGGUUUAGGUGUAUCGACCGUUCUGGUGGAGUGCUCCAGUACACUCCUGAGAGGGCAUGUACAAUUAUUACCUGUGCUUUUAUCCCCCACGACAUCUGCAUUAUGUACCGCUUGCCAAUCCCUGACCUCCCAGAUGAUGAUGACCCCGAGGGAGAUGUCCCAGUCCCUGCCCCAUGUAACACUGGCAUGCAAGUGAGACAAGACCUCAUAAGGAGGAGAUUCAUGUGAAGAAAAAACACAAUAAACCACACAUGAAAACCUC